AUGUCCAAAAUUAUUCAUACCCUUCUCAAUAAUCAAUAGAAAAGCCUUUAUUGGCUAUUACAGCAAUCAAACGCUUGCUAUAAUUGCUGACAAGCUUUUUGCAUGUCUCCACUGGUAUUUUUGCCUAUUCAUCUUUAGCGAUGAGCUCCAGCUCUUUCAGGUUGGAGGGUCUCCUUGCCAUCACCCUGAUCUUUAGCUCCCUCCACAGAUUCUCAAUUGGAUUUAAAUCAGGACUCUGGCUGGGCCACUGCAAAACGUUAACGUUUUUGUCUGCUAACCAUUUCUUCACCACUUUUGCUGUGUGUUUUGGGUCGUUGUCAUGCUGAAAUGUCCACUGGUGCCCAAGGCCAAGUUUCUCUGCAGACUGCCUGAUGAUGUUGUUGAGAAUUUUGAUGUAUUGCUCCUUUUUCAUGGUGCCGUUUACUGUAAUUAGUUUCCCUGGUCCACCGGCUGAAAAACACCCCCAAAACAUUAGGUUCCCACCACCAUGUUUGACAGUGGGGAUGGUGUUCUUAGGGUUGAAGGCUUCUCCUUUUUUACGCCAAAUGAAGGCUACAUCAUUGUGGCCAAACAAUUAAAGUUUUGUUUCAUCUGACCAUAAACCAGAAGACCAGAAGUGUUCUUCUUUGUCCAGAUGAGCAUUUGCAAAGGCCAAGCGGGCUUUUGUGUGCCUUAUCUGGAGAAGUGGCGUCCUCCUUGGUCUGCGUCCGUUGAACCCAGCGGUGUGCAGUGUCUUUUGGACUGUCUGCCUUGAGAUGUUGCCACCAGCAGAGCCCAGAUUCAUCAGGAUGGCCUUGGUGGUGAUCCUUGGAUUCUUUUUUUACCUCUCUCACUAUCCUCCUGGCCAGCACAGGUGUCACUUUUGGCUUCCGACCACGUCCUCUGAGAUUUUUCACAGUGCGGAACGUCUUGUAUUUUUUAAUAAUACUUUUCACUGUAGCCACUGGAACUUCAAAACAUUUAGAUAUGGUCUUACAGCCCUUUCCUGACUUGUGAGCAGCCACAAUGCGCAACCGCAGGUCCUCAGUGAGCUCCUUUGUCUUAGCCAAGACUGUCCACAAACCAGCAGCAGAGAGCUUCUGUUUUUCACCUGUUGAGUUGAUUAAAACAGCUGUUCCCAAUGAAUCAGGGUGAUUAGGAUGCUUUAGAACAGCUUGGACUAUUUGGAAUGGUAUAGAUCUUUGGAUUUUCCCAUAGACUGUGACAGUUUGCAAAGGGUAUGAAUAAUUUUGGACAUGCUACUUUUUGUUCAAAUGUAAAUAAAAGAUGAGUAAUAAUUUUUUCCACAAUGAUGCCUCUUGUACAUCGUCUUAUUAUCUUCUGGGAUUGUGUUUGACUGUGUAUAUGUGUGUGUCUGUAUAUACAGUGAGUACGGAAAGUAUUCAGACCCCCUUAAAUUUUUCAAUCUUUGUUAUAUUGCAGCCAUUUGCUAAAAUCAUUUAAGUUCAUUUUUUUCCUCAUUAAUGUACACACAGCACCCCAUAUUGACAGAAAAACACAGAAUUGUUGACAUUUUUGCAGAUUUAUUAAAAAAGAAAAACUGAAAUAUCACAUGGUCCUAAGUAUUCAGACCCUUUGCUCAGUAUUUAGUAGAAGCACCCUUUUGAUCUAAUACAGCCAUGAGUCUUUUUGGGAAAGAUGCAACAAGUUUUUCACACCUGGAUUUGGGGAUCCUCUGCCAUUCCUCCUUGCAGAUCCUCUCCAGUUCUGUCAGAUUGGAUGGUAAACGUUGGUGGACAGCCAUUUUUAGGUCUCUCCAGAGAUGCUCAAUUGGGUUUAAGUCAGGGCUCUGGCUGGGCCAUUCAAGAACAGUCACGGAGUUGUUGUGAAGCCACUCCUUCGUUAUUUUAGCUGUGUGCUUAGGGUCAUUGUCUUGUUGGAAGGUAAACCUUCUGCCCAGUCUGAGGUCCUGAGCACUCUGGAGAAGGUUUUCGUCCAGGAUAUCCCUGUACUUGGCCGCAUUCAUCUUUCCCUCGAUUGCAACCAGUCGUCCUGUCCCUACAGCUGAAAAACACCCCCACAGCAUGAUGCUGCCACCACCAUGCUUCACUGUUAGGACUGUAUUGGACAGGUGAUGAGCAGUGCCUGGUUUUCUCCACACAUACCGCUUAGAAUUAAGGCCAAAAAGUUCUAUCUUGGUCUCAUCAGACCAGAGAAUCUUAUUUCUCACCAUCUUGGAGUCCUUCAGGUGUUUUUUCAUGUGUCUUGCACUGAGGAGAGGCUUCCGUCGGGCCACACUGCCAUAAAGCCCCGACUGGUGGAGGGCUGCAGUGAUGGUUGACUUUCUACAACUUUCUCCCAUCUCCUGACUGCAUCUCUGGAGCUCAGCCACAGUGAUCUUUGGGUUCUUCUUUACCUCUCUCACCAAGGCUCUUCUCCCCCGAUAGCUCAGUUUGGCCGGAAAAAUUUUCACAAAAAUUGAUAUAGAUCAUCUUCAGACCAUGCUUGCAAAAUGUUAUUAAAAGCUUUUUGAUAGAUCUAUCCGUUCUCGAAAAAGGCACAAAUGAAUUCGACAAAAAGCUUGAGAAAUCAGACUUAUUAUUUAGGUUAUAUCUCCACAAUGAUUUAUCGUAUUCUGACCAAACUUCGUACAUCUCAAUUUUCCCACCAUUUUGAUUUUUUCAAAAACCCUACUUUUUCAAACUCCUCUUAGGCCGUUACUCCGAUUAUCACGAAAAUUGAACCAGAUCAUCUUCAGACAAUGAUUGCAAAAAGUUGUCAAAAGCUUUUUGAUAGAUCAAUCCGUUCUCGAAAACGGAACAAAUGAAUUUGACGAAAAGCUCAGAAAAUCAGACUUGAGGCUAUAUCUCCAAAACGAUUUAUCGUAUUCUGACCAAACUUCGUACAUGCAAUGUCAUCACAAGCAUGACCUGUGGCAUCAUGCAGAGUUUCGGUGCAGCGCCACCUAGUGGAGAAUUUUUUUUUCAUAUGCUUAUAACUUUUGAUCUGGUUGACUUAUUUUCAUGCGACUCACAUUUUAAGACUCCUGAAUCCUUGACGAGUCCAACGAUACCAAACAUGUUAGGUUUCGACUUAUGGUUUGUGCGGCGUGAUGAUUUAGCACUUAAAAAACGAUUGCGAAUAUCUUCGAAACCGUUAGUCCGAUCGAGACGAAACCAGCGUAGGAAACACGGAACCUAAGCUGGUUAAUGAUAUGUCAAAGCCCAAAUGUCAAAAUUUUGAUAGGAAGUGGCAAAAAAAUCAAAACAAAGUCGUUCAUGGUUCAUUUUUUAUGAUCUCAUACAUAUAAAUGUCUAUAACUCCAAAACAAAAUGAAAUAUUUUCACCAGAUUUGACACACACAUGUAUGGGGUCACCCUGAGGACACAUAAAAAAAUUGGUGGGAUUGUGCCUCUUGGUGGUGCUAUAAAUGAACAAAACACAAAAUUGCCAUUAAGUGCUAUACAGUAUUAUGAUAUAAAAUAUUCUAUUAUAUGAAUGCAUUGGUAUACCAUUACGAAACUCGGUAUGUGUCAUCGGCACCAUGCUUUGAAGGUUCUCAAAUGGUUUCGAGACAGCGCCACCUUGUGGUCAAAUGUUGCAAUAAAAUUUAUUAAAUAUGCUAAUAGCUUUAUGUAAAUGUGGCCUAUUGUAUUGAGGCUUGUCUUAAUAGAUUCUGUAGGUCAUGCUGAGAACAUUGAUGUCAAUUUUACUAUAGUCAGCCAAACUUCCUGUCUGCCAUUUAGAUUUUCUUUUAAACCUACUUUUUCAAACUGCGCUUAGACCAUUCAUCCAAUUUUCACCAAAAUUGAAUCGUAUCAUCUUCAGACCAUGUCGAAUAAAUGUUAUAGAUUUUGUGUUGAUAGACACAUGACAGAAGAUGAGAUGACAGAAACCGUAUUCAUAUACCACAGCGAAGAAUUAGAGGCUUGAUGCCAAAAUGACUCUUGAGGCUGUAUCUCUGUAAUGCUUUGACAUAUUCUCACCAAACUUUGCGAUUGUCAUUGUCACCUCACUCUGACCAUACCACAUGAAUUUGGUCAUAGUGCCAGAAUACGAUAAAUUCCCUAUCCCUUUCCCUAUCAGCCAUUUUGGGCAUCGGCCAUUUUGAAUUUUGUGCUAAAAUGCUGUAUUUCAUGAACGCAUUAGCAUAUCGUCACAAAACUCGGUAUUGGGUCAUCAGCACAAUGCCCUGAAGUAGCCUCAGAAGUUUCGGACCAGCGCCACCUAGUGCCUAUUGUAUCUGUUGGUGUUCUUUUUUUUUAUUUUUAUUUUUUAUUUUAUUUUUAUUCUUCUUCUUCUUCUUCUUCUUCUUCUUCCACUCUGGAAGUCUAUGGCAGCCCAUAGAACCGUAUGGUUGUAUCUCUGCAACGCUUUAUCGUAUUCAGACCAAACUUGGUACAAGUCAUCACAAGCACGACCUGAGGCAUCAUGAGGCGUUUUGACGCAGCGCCACCUACUGGUCCGGAGAUAUGAAAAAUGAUUAUUUUUGCUUAUAACUUCUGAUGAGUUUGUCCAAAAGUCAUAAAUGUGGUCUCGUUGAAUUCGGGGCAUCAUGCCGAGUCGAACGAUAUCCAAUUUUCCCUAUCAGCCAUUUUGGCCGUCGGCCAUUUUGAAUUUUGUGCUAAAAUGCUGUAUUUCAUGAACGCAUUAGCGUAUCGUUACGAAACUCGGUAUGGGUCAUCAGCACGAUGCCCUGAAGGAGUCUGAGUUUCGGAACAGCGCCACCUAGUGGAGAUUUUUUUUUUUAUAUAUGCUUAUAACUUUUGAUCUGGUUGACUUAUUUUCACGAUAAUCAUAUUGUUAGACUCCUGAAUCCUUGCCGAGUCCAACGAUACCAAACAUGCUAGGUUUCGACUUACAGUUUGUGCGGCGUGAUGAUUUAGCGCUUAAAAAGCGAUUGCGAAUAUCUUCGAAACCGUUAGUCCGAUCGAGACGAAACCAGUGUAGGAAACACGGAACCUAAGCUGGUUAACUAUUUCUCAGACCAAAUGUCAAAAUUUUGAUAGGAAGUGGCAAAAAAAUCAAAACAAAGUCAUCCAUGGGUCAUUUUUUAUGAUCUCAUACAUAUAAAUGUCUAUAACUCCAAAACGAAAUGAGAUAUUUGCACCAAAUUUGACACACACAUGUACGGGGUCACCCUGAGGACACAUAACAAAAUUGGUGGGAUUGUGCCUCUUGGUGGCGCUAUAAUUGAACAAAACAUGAAAUUUCCAUUAACUACAAUACAAUAUUAUUUUUUUAAUGUUAUCGUUAUAGACCUGAUACGAAAAUUUGGCUGAUAUAUUAAAGCUGAUGAAUAAUGGAUUAUUUCCUUCAGCUGAGACACUUAAAAUGCACACUGUUCACCUUGAUGGUUUUCAGUUGCUUGAAAUAUGAUUGUAAUCACUUCGAAAAGGGGAAUACAGUUAAGUGCAACAUGCGCAGUGCAAGUCUGUCAUAUAGGCUACAUAAAAUUAUAAUGAGAACUAGGGCUGCACGAUUAUGACAAAUCAUAAUUGUAGAUUAUUCCCUUGAAAUUGUAAUUGUGAUUAUUAAUUACGAUAAUCACAAUUACAUUGAAUGUUUUGAAUAGCAUUAUACCAUUGUUUGAAGCAACUGCAUGCCAUAUUUUCAUGUAAAAAUAAAAAAAAAACAAGCUGAAAACACUCUCCCUGAAAUUGUUUUAUUGUUUUUCUAUAGCAUUAAGCCUCAAAUGUCAACUAUACAUUGGUUUGGUUUCUUUCUUUAAAAAAAAAAAAAAAGUAAACACAUGCAUGUAAUAAUAAUAGUGGCUUUCGCACCAUGUUGUUCUAGGAACUUGUUGUUGUUCCAUGUUGUCCUAAGUAACAGAUCUAAUGUACCCCAGGGCAAUUUUCCUGGUUGCAUUUGCACCCCCAGUAAUAACUCUGAAGUGACGUAAACUGCGCUUGUUGUUGUGACUUAAAACAAGCAAAAUUAUCUGCCAUUGGGGUAAGAAAAAUAAUCUUGUUUUUGUUUGUUUGGGACAAAAAAAGGAAAAAAAAAUUCUUACCCCAUUGGCAGAUCAUUUUGCUUGUUUUAAGCAAAAACUCACUUCAUUUUUUUUUUUUCUCCAGAAAACAACGGGGGGAAAAAAUCUUAUGUCAUUUUAAUUUCUGAAUUUAAGAACUUUUAGAUGUUUAGACUGGAAACAAUACAAAAAUACUAAAUAAGAAAAGCAUUUUUGCAGUGUGAGAACAGCUCAGCCAGAGCCUGAGCACACAGUGCUCACAUUCUCCGUCUUUGUUAGUUUAUGAUGUUUAACUGUCCUGUCUAAUGUGAUUAGACAGAACUGUUAUACAAAAAAUAGACAGUAUAUGAAAAAGUAUUAUCUCAUGUGGCUGAUGCCCAUUGUCGCUAGCUAAGCAGAAAUACGUAAUCGUGUUUUGCUUGGUCCGCUCAAAGUCAUGCUGGAUUUUCUCCUUAGCGUAAGGUGGAGAGGUCCAUCUAUCACCGUUUUCCAUGAAUUAGUUCGUAGAGUAAAUGUAUGGGCUGUAUGUAUACAUGGCUUUUUAAAAUCAGCUUUGUUAGACCUUCGUUAGACUCUCAACCCUGAACAUGCACUAAACACACCUCUUAAUCACGCAGAAUAAUGUAAGUGGAUAUUUUUUGUUGUGAUUGCGCUUUUGAACAAUUACGAAAUUGUGGCAAUCAAAUUAUUUGUGCAGCCCUUUAGCUUCAGCACAUGUUGCUCAGAUGGCAAUGUACGGCAUUAAUAACAAUGAUUGGGACUAUCAUAUUAUAUAACAUUAUAAAGAGUAAUAAAUUGUAAUAAAAUUAUGCAAAUUUUUUGGGUUUAAUUUAGGGAUGCACUAGGCUUGCUGCAGUAGUCGUGUUGGUGUUACCGGUGUUCAGCUGCAACACUUGCCCACCGCCUCGUCGUUUUGAUUUUUUUUUAAUAAGUAAUUUAGUUCAGUUAGAAAACAGACACUACAUUUAAAAACUGAAUGCAUCUGCUUAAUGCAGCAUAAGCAAAACGAUUUCCUUUAUCACGAAAGUUAGAAGCUGACUGACAAGAUGAUUUCAGAAGAUUUUUGCAAUAUUUUGUAUUUAAACCCAGUGCUAAUAGGGAACCUGCAAAUGAUUUGUUGUGUUUUUCUAGUUGUGUUUUUCAUUAAGAAUAAUAACCCACCAUUCAAGCAAUUGGCGCCCCCGAAUUGGCACCAUUUUGAAAGCGAAAAAUCCGCACGGGCAUUCAUAGUGUAUUGGCGUGGAGCAUUUUCAGUUCAUUCCUAUGGAAGCUCAACUUCCACAGGAAUUAAUCGAAAACGCUCGCUCCGCACCGUUAUGAAUGCCCGUGCGCAUUUUAAAUUCGCUUUAUCUCAAAUUAAUGAUUUAAAAGGUGCAAAGGAGGGGACGCCCCCAUCCCCCUUCCCCUCCCCCUCCCGGUGAUACCAGUAUUACCAGUGUUGUCACACGUUGAAAAUUUCCUCACUGUCACAACCCUAGGAUACACCGAUCCGAUACUCUAACCCUAACCCAAAUAUACUAUUGUGUUAUUGUUAAGCCCCACAAAAGGCACAAAAACAUUCUAAAGCACCAUAUACUUUUUUGUGCACUAUAUUCCAAGACUUCUGAAGCCAAUCCAUAGUUGAAUGAGAGGUACAGAUGAAUAUUUAAGUUGUUAAAUUCAGGUUCAUGUAAAAUUUCUUCCUCUGUGGCUGUCAGUCAUUCUCCCUUCAAGCAUUCAAACUGUGUGUCGCAUUCAGUUACAACAGUCAACAUGAAACUCUCUCCAGGAUGAUUCUAUUAUUAUACUUGAUCAGUAGAUAAAGGUCUAUGGUUUUGCAUAAAAGGACUUUAUCUUGGAGUAGAAAGCACUAUGAAUUGUUGUUUAGACGCACAGUAACUUAUUUAAAACUGUUAAAAGAAAAGGUCAAUAAACUAUUGCAUAGAUAUAAUACACUACACAUCAAUAUCUUCAGCGCUUUGUUCCACUCUGUAUUGGAGCCUUUCAUUUUAUAAUAAUUUUGCACAAUGAAAGCUUAUUAAUAGCUUUUCUUGUUCUGUCCUAUCUAUCACGUUGCUGCCCCAUUAAAAAGCUGCGGCAUACAUUUAAAAGUGUCUUUUAAAUUUAUAGUAUAUAUUUUAUAUAUAAAUAUAUUUACUUGUUUUUCAUUAAUGUAUUUUACAAUACAAAGAGCAGUGUGUAACAUUUUACCAGAUUUAGUGCUACACUUAUUCACUUGUAUUUGUUCCCCACUAAAUAAUGCUUUUUUCACUAAAAGUUUAGAUUUUAUACAAGUAUAAGAAAUCCCUUAGGCCUUGACUUUUUCUAUACAAGUUUGAAUAGCAAAAUAAAGGCAUAUAACCAGUUCAUUUGUAGACCACUGACAAUAUAGUUUUAUAAAUAUAGCUGCAAGCAGCGAUGACGGGCUCAAGCCCCGGAGCCACUGCCACCCCGGUGACUUCAGGGCAACUGUGUAUGGCGGGCAAUAGGCAAUUAAAAACGGGAAAACCUGAAAGAACUAUUGUCAAAGUCAUUUGAAUUCACCACAUUUACUGCAGCCAUUGGUGCUGCUAUGACCACGAACCACAACAGCCACAUCUAUGAGAUCAUUUAAAUUUAGACUCAUUUUAUGUCAUACACUGUAUAAUAAAAAAAAAAAAAAAAAAAAAAAAAAACAAUAAAAAGUCUGGCAGCAGUUUCCAGAUGGAUUCCGUUAAAUAAGCAAAUAACCAUUUCACAAAAUUACAUUCAAAAACUGUAAAAAUACAGAACCGACUUUAGUCAAAAUUCAUUAAAUUACAGUAUAUUACUGUUGAAAAUCAUUUAUUAAACCGUAGAAAAACAGAUAAAUUAUGUCAAAUUACAUAGAAAACAACUCAUUUAUUUUUAGGUUAAUCUCUGCAAAUUUUUUUUGAGUUAUUUUAAAAAGCUGCUCUGUCCAUCUACAGUAAUUUUACUUUGAAAAUAUAGAUUUUCCAUGUACAAUAACUAAGAAAUUAUUUAUAAAAAUGCAAUUAGCACAUAAAUUCAAAAAACAAAUAUUUGCAUAUUACAGUAUUAAUCUUUUAUUUUUACAGAACCACUCACAACUUCAAUCAAUCUCUAAAUUAAGUACUUGGAAAUACAUACAAAUAUCAACCUUUAAAACCAAUUCUGCUAAAUUAACAAAAUAUAGUACAGAAUACAUUUAAUGAAAGGAACGAACAUGCACAUUUACAGUAUUAAUCAUUGUACAUAACACUUUAUAUGUCAAGUUACUUGAAUUAUAGGAAGUGCAAGCUUACUAUAUCAUUUUAGAACAUGCAAAAAUAUCUACAUUAAAAAAUAUCUACAUUAAAAGACAAUUGCUGUAUUCCUUUAUACUGUAAUAUUGCUGUUAUUAUUUUAUACAUAUACAAUUACAUUUUAUCCAAAGCAACUUACAAAUUAGGAGUGCAAUGGAAGUAACAAUAAGUGCAGUGACAAUUUCCAGCUAGUCUAACACAGUAUGCGUAGAAUAUUUUUUUUUUUUUUUUUAGUUAAACAGAAAUAAUGGGUCACAUUCUCACACACACAAAAAAAAGUGUUGGAGUUAGUCAAGUUAUUCCGCUAGCAUGGAACAGUCCAGGUAAAGGUCAGUGAAAGUGAGUUUGUGCCUCUUUGGGAUGGCACCACAAGGCGCCAUUCACCUUCAGAACGCAAGCUUCUGGAGGGUGUGGAAGUCUGAAGCAGUGAGUUCAGGAGGGUGCAGAGCCAGUUAUUGUUCUGUAAGCAAACAUCAGUGCCUUGACUUUGAUGCAAGUGGCCAAGAGAGCAUUACAAUAGUCCAGUCUGGAUUGAACAAGAACUUGGAUGACAAUCAUGUUCCGAUAGGAAUGGCCUGAUCUUCCUAAUGUUGUACAAGGCAAAUCUGCAAGAUCAGGCAGUUCUAGCAAUGUGGUCUGUGAAGUUUAACUGAUCAAUUAUAACACAAAGGAGGGGCUGGCUGAAACCACAAGCACUUCUGUCUUGGCAAGGUGUAGUUGAAGGUAAAGGUCAUCCAGGUGAAGGUCGGAAAUUUCCAUGUAGCAGGCUGAGAUGCGAGCAGCUACCGGCUAAUCAUCCAUCUGAAAUGAAAGGUAGAGAUGUGUGUCAGUGAUAGGAAAAAACAUGUUUCUGAAUGAUUCUAGAUACAAUUACAAUAAAAACACUGUACAAAACAGCUGCAUGAAAAGAUGUAAACAAAGAAUUUGUUGUAUGAGUCUUUUCACACCUGGACUGCAAUCAUCUGCUGUAGAUCUCCAGUCUUUCCACAUGACUUGAAAUCACAAAAAUAAAUAAAAAGUAGGCCUAUUACAUUAAAUCAAAAAUGCCAGCACAUGUUUAACUGAGACAAUGCAAAACCUCAACCUAGUUUGAUCUGGAAGCUGAGCAGGAAAGGCUAACAGUUAUGUUUUUGGCUGCCAUGUGAUUUUAGCUAAAUAUAUAUUACAUAAAAUUAUAUUAAUUACUUUGACUUAGCUGCAUCAUAUUGCCUAUCUAGGGGUGUAACUGUCCAUUCAACUGGAUCGAAACCAACUAUCUAGUGUAUCCUAUGAUUCAGUAUGUAAUGACAAUUUACUCAGGCCACCAAUGAUGAGCUUUUUGAAAGAAAAAAUGUAUUUUUAAAAAAUUAUAUGCAUGCUAUACGUAUUUGCAAGCAGAUGCGCUUAGAAUAUGCAAUUUAUUAUGUUGGUUAUAUUCUAGUAUCAUCUGCUUUCCUGUAUGGGCCUAUACAGUAUCAUCAUCAUCAAUAAGGUGUACUUAGGCCUACAGGCUGGCUACUGAAUUCAAUCACUGUCUUGAUGUAGUUAGCCAUGCUAAAGUGUUCAACGUUCAACGUUUCAAAAGAGAUAUAAUAAUUGCGGUACUACCACAAAAAAAAAAAAAAAAAAAAAACGAAGACCUCAUAUACACUUGAACGGACUUUGUUAUAAAUAACUAAUCUUUCUUGGUUUAAAACAGAUGGAAAAUUAAAUGACACCUACUGCAAUUUUCAGUGUUUUUCUCCGAGUUAUGUGACUGAACAAACCCCGUUUAGAAAUGCUAACAUUAGCUUCGAAACUAUCAACAACACAAAUUUGCAGCCACACGACAUAAAAUUUCACUCAAAUGUAUAGAAUGAGAAUCUUACCUUAGCCAUUGAUCGGUUGGUAUGAUGUCCGCUGUGGUCUUCUCGCGCGUUAUUUUCCUCACGCUCGGUUCCGAAUGGAUCGACGGAUGUGUUCAGUGCUCCUGCUUACGGGUGCUCUUUACGAUUGCUUUACACCAAUAUUAAUCUCACGAUCCACUUCGAGCGUAUCCUGAAAUAAAUUCAAAUCACCCGCUCGCGGCUCGCCCUUCCAUCGCUGUACUGCACGAACUAAUGUGGGCGGGACUAACGGAAAAGUAGUCGACGGCAAAUUUGAACCUGCAUACUCACGCACACAAAGCUGCCCAUUUGCAACUCGAUUUGGAGAAACAUAAAAUGUACAUGAAUAAUACAUGUGGUUAGAAAAUUUAGGGGAGAAUAAGUCUAUGCCAAAUAAUGAGAAAAAUGAGUAUCUAUUUGCAAGACAAGGUUAAAAGAUUAGUGAAAUAAACAGUGCAUAAUUUAUAAUAGGCUACAUAGUCCUACUGUAUGUACAAAUGCUAUUAUUAAACUCAUCUUAACCAACACAAUUAUCUUUAAACGGUAAGAAAAACAUGUUGAAUGACUGUUGAUUUCUGUAGUUAUACAUUUGUUUCCUUUUUUCUAUUUUUACAGAAAAAAAUCUGUAAAAUAUGAAUCUACAUUUUAUGUAAAUUAUUCUGUAAAAAUACAGAAAAUUAAAGCAAAAACAAGCAAUUCCCUGUAAAUUUAAUAGUGGAAAUUUAAAUUACAGCAAAUAUCUGUAAAACAACAGGUAUUUCAUUGUAUAAUGACAAAACGGGAAAAUUCUGUAAAAAAAACAAAAAAAACAAAAAAAAACACACAAUUACCUGUAAAAUGACAUUUAUUUUUAACAGUGUAAGGAAGUCAUAGGUCAAUUUCAAAUGCAUGCAGAAUGCUGUCCGAAUGCUGAUGUUGUAUUAUCCUAACACUUAUUUGCAUGUGUUUUUUGACCUACCUGAACUACUGUUUGCACAUCAAUCUUAUGCACCAAAAGCAUGAUUUCAUUUAAUUUCAAUAUGGGUGGUAUCCAAUGAAAAAAUUAAAUUAUAAAAUUAAUAAAUGGAGCCAAAUCACGGAAACUGCAAAGAUGAUUUUAAUAUUGGUGUCAGGUAAGAGUAAGAUAAGUGUCUAGAUUUUUCUGCUCACUUAUGGAAGUUUAUGAUGAACAGCCACUUCUAUAAAAUCAUGAAAAAUGUUCUUUUUAAUAAAUUAGAAUUACAUCAAUAAAUAAUUAAUUUAAAGACACACGCGUCAUAUGUGAUGCUCGCAAACACAGUACGAACUUGUGUAACGCCCAUGCCUAGAAAACACACACUCCCCCCUCUGUAAAAAAAAAACACAGAUGUUAGUCCUGUCUGUAUGAGCACAUGAAAUCACAGAUGUUGGGUGAUAAGAAUUGUAACUCAGACAUCAUUUAGAAAACUAGUCCUGUCCGAAUAGUGAUAGUCCAUCAAGCAUAGUACAUCAGUAUUUAUCUUGUUUUUUUAUAUAUUUUAAUUAACCUUUUUUUUUAAUAUUCUUUAUGGGGGUUUCUGAGGCACUUAGCAUGGUUCAAAUUGCAUGCAACUCAACACACACAUCAGAGUUACCAGCCAGAAAUGGGCAUGGAGGAGGGGCUCUUUAGCACCACCUUUUGUCUAAAGUUGGUGGGUAGUUUUACCUACAGUAGGGAUGGGCGAUACCACUUAUUUUGUUUUCGAUACGAUACCAAUACUUUCAAGGCCAGUAUUGCCGAUAUCGAUACCGAUACGAUACCUGUAAUAUGAACUUAUUGAUUUUAACAUUUAUUCAAUUAUUGAAUUACUAAGAGUAAAAUGGGUUAUGAUACCCACUUAACAUUAUAUUUGAAAGGCAUUUUAACAUUCAAUAUGCCUUAAUUGCAGUUUAUUAGAUUAUAUUUUUGUUUACACAUGGUUAAAAUGUUUACUUGGUAAACCAUGGAAAAUCUACAAAUAAGCCUACUAUAUGCCUAGCUGAACUAUGGUCGCUGUAGUAAUGGUUCAUUUUCAUAAGGGACUGCCAGUGACAGGCUGUUGCACCCAUAAAAUGAAACAUUUGUAUUCUGACAGAACAUCAAUAUGAACUUUUAACGUUCAAUUUAAAUAAAUGUAAUUGCACAAACUAUGUAGGCUACUAUUUCAUUUUGUUUAUUGUGAAAUAACUAAUAAUAAUAAUAUUUUUCUGUCUUCUGUUAAGCAUUAUUCUGGGCUGCGUUUCCCAAAAGCAUCAAUGGUUUCUUACGAUGCUAAACGCAGCCCUUAGUGUCGGCAGUGAGCGAACACUCUCUGUGAUUGAUUGGUUCUGACUUGCAGCAUUUGCGUGUUCAGAUGAGCAGGAAAACACUUCUACUAUAAAUUAUUCGCUAACAUAGGUUAUUUGUACAAUUCAAUGCAUAUUAUAUGCAUUAAAUUUAUUGUUAAUUAAACAAAAACUGGUAAAAAAAAAAAAAACACACCUUAGUAUCGAUAUUUUAAUUUGAGUAUCGAUACUUUCAAUACUCAACGUCAGUAUCGAUAUAUCGAUACUUCAUAUCGGUCUGCCCAUCCCUAACCUACAGUCACCAAGCUCGGUACAUAUAUUGCUCUCAUUGAGACGGACAACUUUCUAAUUUACAGUCAUUCGCUCCGACCGACAGGAAGUUUGCUAUUUUUGUUUGAAUGUGGAUUUAUUUAUUUAUUUAUUUUUUAUAACCAGCUCUCAAUUUCUAACUACUGCUCCAAAUGCCGUCAUACAAUUCACACCAAACUUUUUCAACAUGAAGUCAAGACAUUAAGGAUGUUAAAUUGUAGACGGAUAAUGGAUAUCUCAAACGGUUUGGUCGUGGCGAGGCAACGUAUUUAUGGCAAAAAAAAAAAAGUGAAACAGGAAAUGUUAUAGCUUCUGCAAACAUUGACUGAUUUGGAUGAAACUUAAGCUGUGUGUUCGUUGUAUGAGGCUGAUCACAUAAAUGUGACUAUUGUGAGUCAAAGACAUGGUGCCACCAACUGGCAGCAGGAAGUGUUGCUUUUCAAAAUGCUUUGAAAUCACUGUCUUAUUUUUACCCAAUUUGCUUCAAGCUUCAUCAGUAUAAUGUCAAAACUCAGCAGAUGUAAACCUGUGAAAGGAUUCUUGAUAUCCUAAAUACUGUUGCCCAUGGCAAUGUGUAAAACUUUAAUAUUCUUUUUGGGUGUUUUUGAGACUCUUAGCAUGCUUCAAGCUGUCAGUCAGUAAACAUGGGCAAAGCCUUAUGCUGCCUUCACAUGCUCUCAGAAUUAUCUUAAAUACGAGUUUCCUAGGUUAAAAAUUGCACACGAACGCCCUCCCAUUUCGAAACUUGAAUGCGAUGAGCUUGUAAUCAUGACUUUAGAAGUGGGAAUUAUUGUAACACUUUAUAAUAACUAUAAAGCGCUAUGAAUCAUUAGUUGAGCAUUAGUAAAUAGUCAAUUCAUCAUUUAUAAAGCAUUGUUCAUACAUUAAUAGACAUUAGUAAGCAGUUUAUAAAUACUAUAAAUGCUUUGUUUUUGAUUUAUAAGCAUAUCUAUAAUGUUUAAUAAUUGUAUUUUCAUACUUUAUUGAUGAUCAAUUUAUCAUUUCUAAAUUAUUACAUUUACAAACCAGUUAUUUAGGAGUUGUCAGUGGUUCAUAAAGUCAUUUAGAAAGUGUAAGUAAAUGAUUAAUUAAUUAUUUAAAUGUACAUUUAUACAUCUUUAGACAUAUAGUAAUAGUUACUCAGUGUGUUAAAUGCUUUAUUAAUAUGUAUUCCUACUGUAAUUCAUGAUUAAUUCAGGUAGUUACAAAACAUUUAAUAGUCGUCAGUUAACUAUUUUUGUGAGCUCAUCUAAAGUGAGGACUAUUUAUGCCUCAUAAAGCUUUUACAAAGAAGAUUUAAAGGCUCAGUUAUCUUCUAAACAGAAAAAGAAAACAAACAACACAGAGUGAUACAGAACAUAGAAAUACUUAUUUCAAGAUGGGGAAAAAAAAACAAAAAAAAAAAAACACUUGGUAUAACAUGAGAAAUAAACCUCUGCAAUAUCAUAUAAAAAAGGAACUAAACAAGCAACAAAAUGUACAAGAACAAAAUAAA